rnacentral:rRNA from 1 species
UGGGCGAAGCCUGAUGCAGCGACGCCGCGUGAGGGAUGACGGCCUUCGGGUUGUAAACCUCUUUCAGUAGGGAAGAAGCGAAAGUGACGGUACCUGCAGAAGAAGCGCCGGCUAACUACGUGCCAGCAGCCGCGGUAAUACGUAGGGCGCAAGCGUUAUCCGGAUUUAUUGGGCGUAAAGAGCUCGUAGGCGGUUUGUCGCGUCUGCCGUGAAAGUCCGAGGCUCAACCUCGGAUCUGCGGUGGGUACGGGCAGACUAGAGUGAUGUAGGGGAGACUGGAAUUCCUGGUGUAGCGGUGAAAUGCGCAGAUAUCAGGAGGAACACCGAUGGCGAAGGCAGGUCUCUGGGCAUUUACUGACGCUGAGGAGCGAAAGCAUGGGGAGCGAACAGGAUUAGAUACCCUGGUAGUCCAUGCCGUAAACGUUGGGCACUAGGUGUGGGGGACAUUCCACGUUUUCCGCGCCGUAGCUAACGCAUUAAGUGCCCCGCCUGGGGAGUACGGCCGCAAGGCUAAAACUCCAAGGAAUUGACGGGGGCCCGCACAAGCGGCGGACCAUGCGGAUUAAUUCGAUGCAACGCGAAGAACCUUACCAAGGCUUGACAUGUGCCAGACCGCCUCAGAGAUGGGGUUUCCCUUCGGCGCUGGUUCACAGGUGGUGCAUGGUUGUCGUCAGCUCGUGUCGUGAGAUGUUGGGCUAACUCCCGCAACGAGCGCAACCCUCGUUUCAUGUUGGCAGCACGUAGUGGUGGGACUCAUGGGAGACUGCCGGGGUUCAACUCGGAGGAAGGUGCGGAUGACCUUAAAUUAUCCUUGCCCCUUA